rnacentral:tRNA from 1 species
GGGGAUAUAGCUCAGCUGGGAGAGCAUCGCGUUCGCAACGCGGGGGUCACGGGUUCGAAUCCCGCUAUCUCCACCA